rnacentral:rRNA from 1 species
AUACGUAGGGGGCGAGCGUUGUCCGGAAUGAUUGGGCGUAAAGGGCGCGUAGGCGGCCUGUUAAGUCUGGAGUGAAAGUCCUGUUUUCAAGAUGGGAAUUGCUUUGGAUACUGAUGGGCUUGAGUGCAGGAGAGGUUAUCGGAAUUCCCGGUGUAGCGGUGAAAUGCGUAGAGAUCGGGAGGAACACCAGUGGCGAAGGCGGGUAACUGGACUGCAACUGACGCUGAGGCGCGAAAGUGUGGGGAGCAAACAGGAUUAGAUACCCUGGUAGUCCACACUGUAAACGAUGAAUGCUAGGUGUAGGGGGUAUCGACCCCUUCUGUGCCGCAGUCAACACAAUAAGCAUUCCGCCUGGGGAGUACGGCCGCAAGGUUGAAACUUAAAUGAAUUUGCGGGG